UGAUUUUGUUUAUUCGAGUUACUAUGUUAUCAGAUGUUCGGGAAUGCAUGCAACCGUAGCAAUACUUGUAUCAAGCUAAUACUGUUUAGAAGAAUGUUUAAUGGACAAAGACACUGAUAUUUUCACCAUUUGUAUCCUGGUUAAGAUAAGCACGAGGAGAUUUCAGAACAUACUUUUAGUUAAUACAGAUUGGUUUCUUUUCUGCAAAUUGUGAAUAACAUUUGCUCUAUUAUUCUCUACCCGACGGAAUAUUAAGAGGACUCUGUAGCUUUUAUAAACCAUGUUCCGAUAUCCAAUUGGAAAAUUUAUUAGGAGAUGUACAUUCUGCAUCGUCCCUCUCAGUGUCGUUAAAGCACAAGACAGCAUUGUGGAUAGUGUUAAAAAGGCAUUGGAGUUCGUGCCAUCUGAAAUGAUCACUGAUUUAUCGGAAUUACGCGAAGGUGAUCAUAUAAGUUUAGCAAGCUAGGUGUAUACGCCCAUCAUGCUAUUGUCUCAAAACUUGACAAAAAAGCAGGAACAAUCACACUUAUUCACUUUACUGGUGAUGGCAAUAUCAAUACCAAACUCUACAACAAAGCAUCGAUAAAAGAGAAUACGAGGACGUUUAGUUUAAAUGAUGGUGCUGCUCUUGUUAAAUAUAACGAAUAUACACCUCAUUUGAAACGAUUUCCACGACAUGCAACUGUCGCUGUUGCCCAGUACUUUAAAGAUAAUCCUGAUGUCGGUCAUAAUUACAAUCUACUGAUGAACAAUUGUGAGCAUCUAGCUUUCUCGUGCACUUUGGGAUAUGCAAUAAGUUUUCAACAAAUGAAGCCACUUAUUAUUGCUUGUUUGGCCCUGCAAUGUGUUACCACAAAUGCUCUCGACUUUUUGAUGGAAUUUCUGCUGACCAAGCAGGUUGUACGAUAUAAAGAUGGAGACGAUUUUGUCACACUUUUGUUAAAGGAUAAAGAAGUCAAAAUUCGCUUCAACGCCCACAAAACGAUAUAUCAAGAUAAAAAAAAAAAAUGAAUAUUUUUUCUUAAAAAAUGAAAUUUUACUGUGCGAUUGAUGUGUUAUUUUAUUCACAUAAUAUUUACAUAUGUAAUAUUUAUCUAACCAAUAUAAUAUUUGAGGUAUAUUGAAAUGUUAUAAGCCACAUUUGACCACAAUCCAGUAAUUGCUGCAGAUUUCAAAAACUUGUAUUCACAAAAAAAGAUGUUAUAACAUUGCGAAUGAAACAUUUUUUGAACACAGACCAGAGUGGUAGAUGUAAACAGCUUAUUCAACGCUGAAAUCAUUUGACAUUAUGAACACAGUAAAAUGGAAAAAAAGCACAUAACUAGGUUGUGCAUUUUAGAUAAUUUCUAUUUUGAAGUUUCCUUUAAAUCAAAUAUACUUAUUUUGGAACAUAUAUAAAAUAAAAUAUUUCUUAAAUUGAUUUGAAUUCUUUUGGGAUGAUGAUAGGAAACAUUUUGAGUUAAACUGGGAAGAGUUCAUUUAGGUUAUAAAUGUUUUUCAAGAGGAAUAUCAACUGUUAUCACCAUCAGAAAUUUGUUGAAUACAUACCGGUAUCUUGUUGUAAGCAUAUACACAAGUGGCUACUUCACUAACAAAUUAAUGUGCUAGCCAUCUUACAACAUGUAUACAAGUGGCGGCUUCACUAACAAAUUAAUGUGUUAGCCUUCGUACAAAAUGUAUACAAGUGGCUGCUUCACUAACAAAUUAAUGUGCUAGUCUUAUUACAACAUGUAUUCAAGUCGCUGCUUCACUUACAAAUUAUCGUGCUAGCCUUCUUACAACAUGUAUGCAAGGGGCUGCUUCACUAACAAAUAAAUGUGGUAGCCUUCUUACAACAUGUAAACAAGUGGCUGCUUCAUUAACACAUUAAUGUGCUAGCCUUCUUACAACAUGUUUACAAGUUGCUGCUUCACUAACAAAUAAAUAAAUGCGCUAACCGUCUUACUCCAUGCUGAAACUUAGUAGUUUGAAUUCAUAUUUUUGGGGGAAUUUUAUCUGUUAAUUUUAUCUUUUGAUACAUAUUGGUUUAUGAAUUACAACAGCUGAAGUUUUUUUGAGGUUUGUGAGGUCCAAUACACAGUGAAAAUAUAACAGUUUUGUAAGAUACGUCUGCUUCCUUUUCUAGUCAACAUUGAUUCCGCAACCAACAGCAAAACAGGUAUUUAUGGAGGAGUCUUCAUUAUCAAUUGCUACAAGCAUUUGUACUUUACUUUGUUCUGUUAGCUGUAAAGUAACAAAUAAUAACUGUAAAAACACAGUGUUAAAGUUUUUUUAGAUUAGUGAUUACAUGUUCAAAAGUUUUUAGGUAUCAUAAUAUCUAAAUUGCAAUAUGACAUUACUUACAUGUAACUUUAACAUGUAUCUUUAUACAUAAACUUUAUAUUUUUCA